rnacentral:snRNA from 1 species
GGACAUGAGUGCAAUCUGGUUGCGACUUCUGUUACCCCAUUGGCUCAGCUGAUCUGGCUAGCUAGGCUGGUGUCCCCUUCCUCCCUCACCUCUCCACGUGUUGUCCCUCCUGAAGCUGCACGUUGAGUGAAGAGGACAACCUUCUCUGCUAGAGGCAGGCCAGUCCUCGGUCAAGGGUAUACAAGUAGCUGCACUCCCCUCCUAGAACCUCCGAACAAGCUCUCAAGAUCACCUUUGAUGUUUAAACUUGUGCUAAUGAUUUUUUUUUAGCUUUUAUUUAAUGAAUAUAAAU